rnacentral:rRNA from 1 species
AUCCAGACUCCUACGGGAGGCAGCAGUGGGGGAUAUUGGACAAUGGGGGGAACCCUGAUCCAGCGACGCCGCGUGAGUGAAGAAGUAUUUCGGUACGUAAAGCUCUGUCAGCAGGGAAGAAAAUGACGGUACCUGAAUAAGAAGCACCGGCUAAAUACGUGCCAGCAGCCGCGGUAAUACGUAUGGUGCAAGCGUUAUCCGGAUUUACUGGGCGUAAAGGGAGCGCGGGCGGCGCGCCAAGUCUGAUGUGAAACCCCGGGGCUCAACCCCGGGCAUGCAUUGGAAACUGGCGGGCUGGAGUGCCGGAGAGGUAAGCGGAAUUCCUAGUGUAGCGGUGAAAUGCGUAGAUAUUAGGAGGAACACCAGUGGCGAAGGCGGCUUACUGGACGGCAACUGACGCUGAGGCUCGAAAGCGUGGGGAGCAAACAGGAUUAGAUACCCUAGUA